CAAACCAAAGCUGGCGACCGGCGCACGGGUGAGUAACACGUAUCCAACCUGCCUCAUACUCGGGGAUAGCCUUUCGGAAGAAAGAUUAAUAUCCGAUAGCAUAUAUUUCCCGCAUGGGUUUUAUAUUAAAGAAAUUCGGUAUGAGAUGGGGAUGCGUUCCAUUAGUUUGUUGGGGGGGUAACGGCCCACCAAGACUACGAUGGAUAGGGGUUCUGAGAGGAAGGUCCCCCACAUUGGAACUGAGACACGGUCCAA
rnacentral:rRNA from 1 species